AGCUCCAAUAGCGUAUAUUAAAGUUGCUGCAGUUAAAAAGCUCGUAGUUGGAUUUGUGGCGCGGUCGUCCGGCGGGGCUUCCGGUUUCAUAGUAUCCCGGGGCCGUUUGUCUGGGUUCUUGGCCGCCCCAUUCUUCGGUUGCGUGUCGCUGGCAUUAGGUUGUCGGCUUCUUCGCGCCGAUCGUUUACUGUGAAAAAAUUAGAGUGUUCAAAGCAGGCUUAGGCCGUUGGAUACAUUAGCAUGGAAUAAUAGAAUAGGACUUAGUCUUAUUUUGUUGGUUUGUUAGGACUGAGUAAUGAUUAAGAGGGACAGUUGGGGGCAUUUGUAUUUCGGCGCUAGAGGUGAAAUUCUUAGAUUGCCGAAAGACAAACUGCUGCGAAAGCGUCUGCCAAGGAUGUUU
rnacentral:rRNA from 1 species